rnacentral:lncRNA from 1 species
UCCAGAGCACUGCUACACACCAAACAACAAUAGUAAAUAGUUCAUCUCAUAUUUGCUAAGCAACAGAACAAACAUAAUACUGCUCAACCACAUCGACCUAACAUAUCUCCAUAAAGAUAAACCUGCAAGAAAACAAAGUGCACACAAUCAGGAAAAAAUGCAUCAAUAGAAACUGAGAACAAACAAUACAGAAAAUCAAAAACAUUUACCACUAAUGGUGCACAAUCCUAUCAUGUGCACCCUUCUCUCCCUCACUGAAGAAAACACAGCCGCACUUUGGUACACUUGCAUGACAAGUUCCUAUGACUACACUUGUUAUGACCAACUAAGCUGUCUUCGGUCUUUCCUAUAACAUCACUACCCCUACUUUCUAAGAAACAAAUCCAACAAAUGACUAAACCAUCGUAUAUCUUGCUCAUGGCGAGCUUAUACCUCUCAUGCAUAUCAUCAAACAUGUUUACUAGCUAUGAGGGAAUGUUAUGCUUUGUGUUUGGAUCAAAAGAAGGUGAUGCAUAU